rnacentral:lncRNA from 1 species
UAUUGUAACGGCCCCGGAAAUAUUAAAAUGAAAUGAGUAUUUAAAUAUAUCAAAUGCGGAAGCGAGAUCAAAAUUUCAGUUAACAUCCCUUACACGAAAAAAAAACCAGAAACGUACUUAAAAUAUAAAAGAUUAAACUAACUAAGAGAGAAACUCGAAAAUAAAACUAUGAGUAUGACUACAGAGUCUCUAGGUAUCCCCUUCGUCGUCCUCCUGCGGAACGGGCUCGGGAACCAUGUCUUCCUGAUCUGAAAUGGUUAAAUAAGGAGUGAGCUACACUAGCCCAGUAAGAACAUCACGAUAUCUCACCGUCACGGAGGUAAAGGUGGGUAGAAAAACACAAAAAGACCAAUGGAGCAUAAUUUACAAUAAACUCGUUUAUCAACAUGAAAACCUUUACCAUCCACUUACCUUGGUGGAAUUUAUGAAAACAAUAUGAGAAAAACAAUAACAUCAUCAUAAUCAUUGAAUAAUCUAAGCUGUAAAACAUAACACUUAUCACGCCUCUUGUAAUUCAAUCAUUGUACAACAUAUCUUUUCCUCAUUUACCAGCCUACUAGUAUCCGUGGGGGUCCAUAGGGGUUCCGCUACCCGUUAACCUUUAACAUUCAUAAUC